UGAACGCUGGCGGCGUGCCUAAUACAUGCAAGUCGAACGCACUAGUUUACUAGUGAGUGGCGAACGGGUGAGUAACACGUAGGUAACCUGCCCUUAAGACGAGGAUAACCGUUGGAAACGAUGGCUAAGACUGGAUAGGAAUAAUUAAGGCAUCUUAAUUAUUUUAAAAGACCUAGCAAUAGGUAUGCUUAAGGAGGGGCCUGCGGCGCAUUAGCUAGUUGGUGGGGUAAUGGCUCACCAAGGCGACGAUCCGUAACUGGUCUGAGAGGAUGAUCAGUCACACUGGAACUGAGACACGGUCCAGACUCCUACGGGAGGCAGCAGUGGGGAAUAUUGGACAAUGGGCGAAAGCCUGAUCCAGCCAUGCCGCGUGUGUGAAGAAGGUCUUCGGAU
rnacentral:rRNA from 1 species